rnacentral:rRNA from 1 species
UACGAAGGGGGCUAGCGUUGCUCGGAAUCACUGGGCGUAAAGCGCACGUAGGCGGCUUUGUAAGUUAGAGGUGAAAGCCCGGAGCUCAACUCCGGAAUUGCCUUUAAGACUGCAUCGCUCGAAUCAUGGAGAGGUGAGUGGAAUUCCGAGUGUAGAGGUGAAAUUCGUAGAUAUUCGGAAGAACACCAGUGGCGAAGGCGACUCGCUGGACAUGUACUGACGCUGAGGUGCGAAAGCGUGGGGAGCAAACAGG